AGCGAACGUUAGCGGCGGGCCUAACACAUGCAAGUCGAGCGAGAAAGUGGCUUCGGCCAUCAGUAAAGCGGCGGACGGGUGAGUAACACGUAGGUAAUCUUCCCUUGAGCGGGGGACAACGAGCCGAAAGGCUCGCUAAUACCGCAUAAGUUCAUAGGGACUCCGGUCUUUAUGAGGAAAGCUAGGUAGCAAUAUCCGGCACUCGAGGAGGAGCCUGCGUCGCAUCAGCAGUUGGUGGGGUAACGGCCUACCAAGGCGAAGACGCGUAGCUGGUCUGAGAGGAUGAUCAGCCACACUGAAACUGAGACACGGUUCAGACUCCUACGGGAGGCAGCAGUGGGGAAUAUUGGACAA
rnacentral:rRNA from 1 species